UGCUACUUCUUAACUGUAAUUUUGCUACUGUUACAAAUUGUAAUGUAAAUAUCUGUGUUUUCUGAUGGUCUUAGGCAAUUCCCGUGAAAGUUUCAUUCAGCCCUCAAGGGGUCGAGACCUAAAGAUCCAUUUCUACAAUCAAGACCCCUGGUUAAGACUGUUUUUCACUUCCAUCUUCAUACUAUGUAGAUCACUAGUUCUAGCCAUGGCAUUUUGAAAACAAGGAGAAAUGCAGUGUUGGACCAGGAGAUGAAGGACCAGUGCCUGCUUUAGUCCUACAGACUAUUGACUCCAGCAGAAAAGAAAGAAAAGCAGACAAGGCAGAAAUACCAUGAAGGACAGCAAAUCCAUACUCUGCUUACUCAAAAGGAGGUCCACAAACCUUCCCCUGGCUAAGAAGUAGGAACAAGUGUGAAGACAUGAAUAAGGGUAUACGGGCAAACACUGGAGCAUGGUCAACCUACCAGAAGCAACACUGUUAAAGAAAACUGGAUUCUAGAUGUGGAACAAGGAUGACUGGACUGCUACUCACAUCACCAGUGAGGCUACCUGUAAAACAGGACCCCAAGAAAGACACGGGGAUCACCCAAUGACGGAGAAAUGGAUGAGAUCUACAUGA